rnacentral:rRNA from 1 species
GUCUAUGGCCAGGCCACCCUGAUCGAGCCCAAUCCCGUCUGAUCUCGGAAGCUAAGUAGGGUCAGGCCUGGUAAGUACUUGGAUGAGAGACCACCUAGGAAGACCAAGUGUUGUAGGCA